rnacentral:rRNA from 1 species
GACGGGUGGAGUAACGCGUGGGUAACCUGCCUUAUACAGGGGGAUAACAGUUAGAAAUGACUGCUAAUACCGCAUAAGCGCACAGGAUUGCGAUGAUCUGGUGUGAAAAACUCCGGUGGUAUAAGAUGGACCCGCGUCUGAUUAGCUGGUUGGUGAGGUAACGGCCCACCAAGGCGACGAUCAGUAGCCGACCUGAGAGGGUGACCGGCCACAUUGGGACUGAGACACGGCCCAAACUCCUACGGGAGGCAGCAUG